rnacentral:rRNA from 1 species
GACGAACGCUGGCGGCGUGCUUAACACAUGCAAGUCGAACGGAAAGGCCCUGCUUUUGUGGGGUGCUCGAGUGGCGAACGGGUGAGUAACACGUGAGUAACCUGCCCUUGACUUUGGGAUAACUUCAGGAAACUGGGGCUAAUACCGGAUAGGAGCUCCUGCUGCAUGGUGGGGGUUGGAAAGUUUCGGCGGUUGGGGAUGGACUCGCGGCUUAUCAGCUUGUUGGUGGGGUAGUGGCUUACCAAGGCUUUGACGGGUAGCCGGCCUGAGAGGGUGACCGGCCACAUUGGGACUGAGAUACGGCCCAGACUCCUACGGGAGGCAGCAGUGGGGAAUAUUGCACAAUGGGCGGAAGCCUGAUGCAGCAACGCCGCGUGCGGGAUGACGGCCUUCGGGUAGUAAACCGCUUUCGCCUGUGACGAAGCGUGAGUGACGGUAAUGGGUAAAGAAGCACCGGCAAACUACGU